CAGCCGCCGCGGUAAAACCAGCACCUCAAGUGGUCAGGAUGAUUAUUGGGCCUAAAGCAUCCGUAGCCCGUCUUGUAAGUUUUCGGUUAAAUCCAUGCGCUUAACGUAUGGGCUGCCGGGAAUACUGCAUAACUAGGAAGUGGGAGAGGUAGACGGUACUCGGUAGGAAGGGGUAAAAUCCUUUGAUCUAUUGAUGACCACCUGUGGCGAAGGCGGUCUACCAGAACACGUUCGACGGUGAGGGAUGAAAGCUGGGGGAGCAAACCGGAUUAGAUACCCGGGUAGUCCCAGCUGUAAACUAUGCAAACUCAGUGAUGCGUUGGCUUAUGGCCAAUGCAGUGCUGCAGGGAAGCCGUUAAGUUUGCCGCCUGGGAAGUACGUACGCAAGUAUGAAACUUAAAGGAAUUGGCGGGGGAGCACCA
rnacentral:rRNA from 1 species